rnacentral:rRNA from 1 species
UACGUAGGGUGCGAGCGUUGUCCGGAAUUAUUGGGCGUAAAGAGCUCGUAGGCGGUCUGUCGCGUCUGCUGUGAAAUCCCGAGGCUCAACCUCGGGUCUGCAGUGGGUACGGGCAGACUAGAGUGCGGUAGGGGAGAGUGGAAUUCCUGGUGUAGCGGUGGAAUGCGCAGAUAUCAGGAGGAACACCGAUGGCGAAGGCAGGUCACUGGGCCGCAACUGACGCUGAGGAGCGAAAGCAUGGGGAGCGAACAGG